UCCUCGUAGAACGACACCAACACUCUCUUUCUUCUCCUAAAAUCUGAUUUACAUCUUCAACUGUGUGUUUGAAAGAACCAUACUCUUCAAACUACCAACUUUCAUCCUCUGCAGAAACUGAUUUUCUUAAAUAAGCUCAGUGCAACACAAUCUGCUUUCUGAAUUAUUCAACCAAACUCUACAACAUCUUUUUUCUCCAGGAAACCCUGUAAAAGACUCAGAUGCAUUAAGUCAGAACUGUCAAAUUCAUACAAGG